UGGUUUAUGUGAAGUAGUAUAUGAUACAUUAUUUUCAUCUUAAUUAGUUCCUCUAGUUUGAUCAUGGACCCUAUUUCAACUUCUGAACAGGGCAUAGAAACGUAAACAAUAAGCAGUUUCUUCCAAGAAAGCCUGCGACACACGGACGAUGAUGGAGGAUCAAAGUGACUACUUGAUGUUGUAACUGAUGUAAUUGCAUAUCAUUAUUUACAGCAUUGUAGUAGUAUGAAUAUCUCUUAUUCCAUUGCAUAAAAAUAAAAAUAGUAUUUGACACAUUUUGAUAGUUACAUAUUUCCAUUUUGAUAUAUCAAAAAAAUUUACAUUACUUUAGAAUCAAGCCUAAGUAUAAUUUUUAAACACACUUUUAAAGGAAAAACCCUAUGAUGACCCGAUUUUCGUUCAACCUAUGAUGAACUCACCUAAUGAAGAAGUCUAUAUCUUCUGUUGGUAGAAUUGAAUGAAUCAUAUUCAUAACUUCAAAAUUUUAAAUCAAACAACAUACAUCUAUUUUUUUUUUUUUUAUUCUAUUAAAUAGUUGCAAAACGAGGACUUGUCGCUAUCAUUUUGGCUGCUGGUAAGAGGAGCCAAUUCUUGUGUACCAGAACCUUCCUUAGUCUCAUAACCAUCAUAACUACUAUCCCAUAAAACUGCAUGAAGCAAAACUACCGGCACACUACAAGUCGAAGUAAUUGCAAAAUGAGUACCGGCAUCAGUCAUAAUCAGCUGAAUUGCAGUUGCAAUUACUAAAAAAGUCAAUACAAUCUUUUUAUCUAUGAUUCUAUGAAGCAAGUGUGAAUUAGGACAUGACCUUAGUAUUAAACAAUAAAGGGUUGUCACAUAGGUCAUGAUAAGCAACAGAAUUAAGGACACUUUUUGGUCAGGUAUCAGAGUUAUGAAGAGUAUCAUCCAAAUAAAAAGUGUAUAGUAUAGCCCUAUAUGCUUCAAGUUUCUUAUGAUGCGAGAUGCUGCAACUUCUUGUGUCAAGGGAAGGUUAAUUGGGCAAUAGAAUUUGAAAUUAGCAUAUAGUUUUUCAUGUGGUGAUUUUGGUUCAUAUGUGUCUGUUGUUGGGGAUGAAGGUUUUGAAGUUGGUAUUCUUUGUGUAGUUCCAAGAUUUGCCAUAAAAGCUUUGAAAUGGAAAUUGGAAAAUCAAAGAAUGGAUCAAUUGAAAGAGCUUCUGAUGAACACAAAAUUUAUUUGAGAAAUUUGUUCCAAAUGUUUUCCACAACUUAUGUGGAUUAGACUUGUAUCUGUUUAAUGCUUGAUAUACAUAUAUAAAAUCCAGAGGGGACAUCAAAUUCUUCAUUCACG
rnacentral:lncRNA from 1 species